CCUACGGGUGGCAGCAGUGGGGAAUAUUGCACAAUGGGGGAAACCCUGAUGCAGCGACGCCGCGUGAGUGAAGAAGUAAUUCGUUAUGUAAAGCUCUAUCAGCAGGGAAGAAAAUGACGGUACCUGAGUAAGAAGCCCCGGCUAACUACGUGCCAGCAGCCGCGGUAAUACGUAGGGGGCAAGCGUUAUCCGGAUGUAAUGGGUGUAAAGGGAGCGUAGGCGGCAGUGCAAGUCUGGAGUGAAAGGCGUGGGCUCAACCCCCGGACUGCUGUGGAAACUGUACGGCUGGAGUGCAGGAGAGGUAAGUGGAAUUCCUGGUGUAGCGGUGAAAUGCGUAGAUAUUAGGUGGAACACCAGUGGCGAAGGCGGCUUACUGGACUGUAACUGACGUUGAGGCUCGAAAGCGUGGGGAGCGAACAGGAUUAGAUACCCGAGUAGUC
rnacentral:rRNA from 1 species